AGUUUGACCACUACUACACGCAGGUAUCUAUAUACCCAAUUUCUUACGUAUGUUACAUUAAAAGGGUUCUGGUAAUAGGAAGAUUUCUUCUCUACUUUGAUACUAUAGUGGUAGAUAAACUAAAUAGCAUGGUUCUGAUAUUUACGAAUUUCUCUACCAAAUUGUGAAAUUCAUAGUCUAGCAAUGGUGAAAUAGGCCCCUGGGCUGUGUCAAUAUGCCCAUAUAGGGAACACAUAUUCUUAAAAUUUAAAUAAUGUUCUGUUUAACAUUCACAACACGGGAUAAUAAAUGAAUGCAUGAUUAUGAUGUCCAUGAAGUGCCAGACCUAAAUUUUUAAGUUCAUGGAUACAUAAUGAAAAUUUAUGAAUUGUAUAUUUUUUCUGUACCUAUUGUCCAUUAUGCCCACUUCCUAAAUUGUUAUAUUGUCAUUAGACAUUGAAAGCAUCAGCUUGUAAUCAACUGCUAUUAAUCGCUUUGUCUUUAUAUUCAUUUCCUUGUUUGCUGAAGAUUAUAAGAAUGUUCACUUUAAUCAGAACCCUGCACCAAGGCUGUUAAAUCUCACGAUAUUUUUAGGUACACACUUUCAUUUUACUUAUUGACAAGUCACCAAUAAAGACCUUCAAGUAAUCUUUUAAACGCAAAGUUACAUGUUUUGGUCCGGGAGCGAUUGUAUAGAUAAUCAAAGAUCCCUCUUACUUCUCAUUUUAUGAAUUGACGUCUGCAGAAAUCAACUGAUAAAAGGGGGUGGUAACAGUGAGAGGAGUCUCUGAUUAGGAUUCAGACUCCCCCAAAAAGAAACAUAAAAUGCGAAUCCAUGAUAAAUUUUUCUACGGUUACAUUGUGCUCGGGCGACGGUCUAAACUUUGGACCUCUAGUUAUUUUAAUCGUAUUUUUUAUCAUAAGAUUUACUUUUAAUAUAUCAUUUAUUGUUGAUAUUUGUAGCUACUUCAUCAUUUGAAUCAGCAUCAUGGAUAGUGCAGAUCAAUGUUUGUUUUAAAAAAAACAAUAAAGAUAUUACUGUAAAUAU
rnacentral:misc_RNA from 1 species